CGGUGGAGUCGGGGAGGCUGGGGAGGUGGGAGGGCUUGGGGUAGCGCAUUGAGCCGAUAGCAUGCGGCCCCGGCGAGAUGCCUCAGCAGCCAGAGCACACGAGAUCUCUAUCCUCUUCUCCUGUUCCUGCAGCUGUGUUUCGGGGUCCUGGGGAGCGUCCACUUCACCCUCACCCAGGGGGAUGACAUUCUGCAGGCUGGACUUGGCAAUGAGGGUUUUUAUCCUUUCCACUUUCUUUUGUUUCUCCUUCAUUUCUUCGGGGCUGAGUGGCGUGUCGGGCUCCAGCUCGAUGUACCGCUCGGGGAUGAGGACUUUGUCCGGUGUGGAUAGCUGGGUGCAGGGCUGGGCUGAGCACCGCUCACCAGGGACCCAUCCCCUCCUCAGCACACACACUCCCCACACAACCAACCCCAGCUCCCAGUACACCAGGCACAGGAAGCAGCACUCACUCCGGCUCCAGGACCCCA
rnacentral:lncRNA from 1 species